UAACUAAGACUUUGAUGACAACAUAAUCAAAUAGUUCAAGCUGCUAUAUGAGUUAUGGACAAGUCAGUAUGUUAGCAGAGCAAACGCGUAAUGAGAGGAGAACUUUCUCUUCUUCUUUUUUUGUCAACAAGGAGAACUUUCUCUUGUUUGAAAAAGGUCGGUCAUUGUUAGGGAUGGAUGGUCUUAGUAGUAUUGACUGAGUCCAGUUCAAACAACAUAAGAAAACUUUGAUAACAACUCUAGGUAAGUGGAACCUUUUCCAUAUAAAAGGGGUUCUGCUUAAAAAAAAAAGAUUAUCUUCACUUUUUUCAUUUGUAAGUUAAUACACGCAUAUCAAUGGCCACUGGGUCAAAAUCACGUUAAGGAAUUCAAAAUUCUGACUUUAUUUAUCACUACAACCCACAUGAAUUGUGAUUUUUACAAUCAUUUUUCCAGCGGUGACUACACUUCCAAAUUCUUCCGUUUGACUAGCUGUGAUCCAAACAUUUAUUAUUUUCCGUGUCUUGACUCUUUCUUUCUACUUGCCGACACAGUAUGUGUUUUUAAAAAAAACAAUCAUUCGUCUACUGAACUUAAUGUAAAAAAAGCAAGCACUACUUGUAGUAGUACCAUAUGUUUCCUGGUUUUUAGAAGUUGUGAUAGGACAUGUAAUUGUUUCUUUUGUAUUCUUAUAAUUGGUCAAGUUCACUAAAGUCUGGUUACUCUAACUACAUGGAGUGAUUAACUGAGCGAUUGUUUUUAAUGGUUUCUAUUUAAACAAUAGCUGACGGACUUCGGGAUCUCAUCUCCUCCACAUAAAAUUACUAUGCCGUGUAGAACAUUCUUAUACAGUAUAAGUAAGCGCAUUGAGCUAGGAAACGGUAACGUAUUGAACGUGUAAAGCUGCUUAUAACGUCCCACAUCGACAAAUAUAGGAAUGAGUUAUGUUGUUUAUAUACAGUAGCGUCGAAAGGUUUGCCUUCGAACUUUUGAUAUUUUUGCAACUGUUUCAUACCUCAAUUGUGACCAUCCGAUUUCCACAUUGAUACUUUUAUGGGUUCCGUUAAGGAGAUCGAGAAACUUAAAAACCAGCAUUUGAUGAUUGUCGUUAUUGUUUUGAAAUGUGUAUCCUCUGUUUUAACUUCAAACUCCUCAUUCAGACUGUUUAUUGGAUUGUUAGUUUCCGUGAACUUGUUAUGUGGUCUGAGAACUUACAUAACCUCUCUAGGCUUACAUAACCUCUCUAGGUUUCUAGAGGGUAUGAGCCAAAAACUUCCAAUAUGAAUUUUUGUUGUGAUAUGGAAUUCUUGUCCGAGAGAUGAGGCAAUAAAGGAUUGGUUUGGUGCUUAUGUGUCUUGCAAAUCAUUGAGCUCUUCAGUUGAAAAGAUCCUGAGACUCAGUUUUCUAGAUUAGACGGUGACCAGAAGGUUUUUUUGGAACUCCUUAACAACAACGGGUUCAUUCACAAGAACGGUUUCAAGAUGGUCUAGUAGAUCCUUGGCUUGACAAGAACGGUUGCUACACCAAAGCACUUUUUUCACUGCCUAGUACAAUUUGGUAUUAGUUUAUUGAAGGAAGAUAAACGACGGCGUAUCUGGAAUUAGCUCAUUUACUGGAGAAACGAUGGCGUAUCAGGUAUAUGAAGCUGUUUAUUUCUUCCCACAUCGCUAACUAACAGAGAAGUUCUCAUGUUUAUAUAACGAAGCUAAGAAGGCAUAGGACACGACCUUACUUGAACAGGAUCUGUUCUAUAGGCUCGUACCUCUGUAUCCUUGAUUUCUAAGGAGACAGGCCCCUAAACCUGGUUGAUGAAUCAUAGCCGUGCGAUCUGAGUGUGAUUAACGGUUACGAUUCUCCUCGGAGUCUCUGCACUGUAGAGGAUCGCUAUCCGGUUAGGUUUGACCUCUCCGGGGUGGUCGCACGGUUGUCUGACAGGCCCUUCUUUUUUUUGGCCGGUGUACACUCUUAAUCAUAUAUUUCACUAACACCACCACAAACAAGACCGUGAAGACCACAAGCCGCAGGAGCAUCUUUGAAAUGGGCAUAUGAUCAUGUGGGCAAGUGGACAGGUACUAAUUAGUUAUCAUUACUAAAACUUGAAGUAUAAAAAUUAGUUGAUCUUCGAGUUAAUUUGUUCAGUUGAAACAUAUUCUAAUGUACCAUUCUCAAACCUAUUCCACAACUGUUGUUGUAUCAUAUGAUUCACAUCUGCAUUACUACCCUGGAUCCAUGUUUACUAGAAUUAGUAAGUGUUGUUGAACUCUUUAAGACAUGCGUGGUCUAGAUCAUUACUUUCUGCCUGCCGUUUUGGUUCUCAACUUAUUAUUUUUUCUUAGUAGAAUUAUGAGCAGAACUUAGGUGAACUCUGGGAUGUGAUGAUUCAAAACACAAGUUGGGCAGACCCUUUUCUGAGAUAUGUAAGAGAGAUGUUGUAAGAGACACAUGUCACUAGCUGAAAACUAAUUGACAUUAUAACAAAUUAUGAACUGGAAGGAUUGGAUUGGUAGUUGUACUGAUUAAUUACUACCAAACCUUAAACCGUAAACAACAUAUUGAUCGUUUUUUAGUUCAGUUGAAACAUAAUCUCUAAUGUACAAAGCUCACAAUGAUUCCAAAAUGCUGUUGUAUGAUAUCAGUAUUUCUUCCCUUGAGGCAGGUUUACUCGAAUGGUGGACCCUCCAGCUCAAGCCCAUCAGUGAUUCAAGCGCUGUUUCCAUUUCAGAUUUGGAGGAGUAACACACAAAGCCAUAACCCCUUUGAUUUCCCGGUGUCUCCGUCAUACUGUAUGAGUCAUACUCAUACACAACUGUAGCACCAACCAAAUCGAAUCCACACUCUCGAAACGCUCCACUCUGAAGUGACUGUCCACGACAUGUUACUCUCACGUACAGUUCCAUCAAGAUUCUCGAUAAUGUAUGGACUGCAACAACCAACUCAUCUCCAACAAUGGGCCAAGAUGCGUUUUAGAAUUCCACUGUAUAACCAUAUGGACCAGAGGAAUUCUCACUUGGCAUGGAAAAAUGAACUUUCGUUAUCUCCUUCGUGGUUAUAUCAUUUAUCAGGUGUGCUUUAUCCAAAUCAGGACAUCUAUUUGAUAAGAAAUCCUGGAGCUCACCCACCUCUGACACCAGAGUAGGUUGAUCUUAUGCUGAAGAAAUUCUCUAAAGUGUCUCUGAGCUCCGAUUUUAUUUCUUCAGAUGAUGUUACCACUUCUCCAUUAGCACAUUGCAUCAUGAAGUGACACAGAGAAGAAACUUGUCAGUUUCUUCACCUGCCUACUGCAUUUGGUAUAGCUUAUUGAGGUUAGUGACCAAAAAAAAAAUAUAUAUAUAUAUAUAUAGCUCAUUGAGUGGAAAAAACGACGGCGUAUUCGGUAGUAUAGGGGAGGAAACAAUAUCGUAUUGAGCAUGUGAUAUUGUUUUAUACAUCCCACAUCGGUCCUGUACAGAUACUUUAUGUUGUUUAUAUACACGUAGAAAGCAUCAGGGGUCACGACCUUACUUGAACAGGAUCUGUUCUAUAGGCUCGUACCUCUGUAUCCUUGAUUUCUAAGGAGACAAGCCCCUAAACCUGGUUGAUGAAUCAUGGCCGUGCGAUCUGAGUGUGAUUAACGGUUGUGAUUCUCCUCGGAGGCUCUGCACUGUAGAGGAUCGCUAUCCAGUUAGAUCUUGAUCUCUCCGGAGUGGUCGCACGGUUGUCUGACAGGCUUUACUUUUUUCAGUUGAAACAUAUUAUAAUAUCACAUGCUCAAAACGAGAGCCAUGGUUAUUAGAAUGUUGUAGAUAUAUGGCAUUUGAGCUCUGAGUCUUCUGAAGCUCAAACUCAUUCAGACAAGAGUGAUCUAGAUAGUUACUUUCUGCCUGCCGUUUUGAUUCUCUUUUCUGAGAAUACCAAAUCGACAGCAGUAAUAUCAGCCUUGAUAGAUAAUGCUUCAAGCAAUAGCUUUCUCGGGUCUUUUAGCUCUUAUUAACUCAAAAUUUCAUGUCUACAAAAGUUUAUUGUGUAUUCCAGCCAUUUUGAGGUUGUGUACAGAUUAAUACCACACCUCCAAGAGAACUCUAUCACUUCUAAAAAGUUCCAAGUUCACUCUUUGGGUCAGCAAUUCAUUCCACCAAAAUGAGCAUGUUCCAUGCCAUCAAUAACCACUACUGGAUUAUGUGUGCUAUUAUUAGCAUCCUGGAGGCAAGGUCGAGAACAAGUUUUAUACAAAUAAUGACCCAUAAUAUACCCUUUCCAUAAAAUAUCCUGAGAGAAAUAUAAAAGACCAGACAAUAAGGAUUAACCAUAGAGAAGACUAAUGCAAGUAAGCAGCGAAACAGAGCAUAACUACAAACUUUGCUAGAGGAUUGCAUUAGAUUCUAUAGGCGGAUAAAACAUAGAAAAUAAACUGUAGAGACUGAAGCAGAUUCUUGUAAACAAUAAUCUGGCUAUAUUCCUUUUUUUUUUGGUUAUUCUGAUAUAAACUCCCAAGACUGAAGCAGCCAGACAUUAUAUGGUAAGGAUGUUUGGUAAUUGGUACUGACAUCCAGGGAACACAACGGAUCACAAGUGUUUGGGUGCAAAGUACUUGACGUGAAUGUUCAAGAGAAAGAUAUGUUAUCUCAUAGACUAUGAGUCAUAGUUGAGUCUGUCAUGUUAGCUUGGCAAUGACGAUACAAAUCUGUGAUGACAUCUUUUAACAACAACCGGUUAAUCCACCAAGAACGGUUUCUAGAUGGUCCAGUAGUAUCUUUGGCUGGACAAGAACCAAAGUCUUGGGUCUGCUUCUUGAGAAAUUAUCCGACAGCCCAAGAGCUUUCCGCAUUUAUUAUUACGCAGAAGUGGAAUCAAUCGAUUGAGAGCGAACGAGACUACGAACUUCUGGGGCAAGAGCUUCGCCGCUGUGGAGACAGAGCAUGAAGUGCCGUCACAAACUUAUCUACCGGAAACUUAUCAUGAAACGCAAUUUCGGGCUAUUUUGAAGAGAUUAUUCAAAGAAGAAACAGCUGUUUCAGUCUCUUCAUCUGCUUACUGUAUUCGGUAUUAGUUUUUUUCUGAGGGGAGAAACGACCACGUAAUGGAAAUAGGUCAUUGUGGGGAGAAAACGACGACGUAUUUAGCGUGUGGUGUUGUUAUUACAUCCCACAUCGUUAACAAACAGAGAUGUCAAGCUGUUUAUAAAGAGCAGAGUCGAAGGUAUUGGUCACGACCUUACUUGAACAGGAUCUGUUCUAUAGGCUCGUACCUCUGUAUCCUUGAUUUCUAAGGAGACAGGCCCCUAAACCAGGUUGAUGAAUCAUGGCCGUGCGAUCUGAGUGUGAUUAACGGCUACGAUUCUCCUAGGAGACUCUGCGCUGUAGAGGAUCGCUAUCUGGUUUGGCCUUGACCUCUCCGGGGUGGUCGCACGGUUGUCUGACAGGCCUUCCUUUUU